UACGGAGGGUGCAAGCGUUAUCCGGAUUCACUGGGUUUAAGGGGUGCGUAGGUGGGCAGGUAAGUCAGUGGUGAAAUCUCCGGGCUUAACCCGGAAACUGCCAUUGAUACUAUUUGUCUUGAAUACCGUGGAGGUCAGCGGAAUAUGUCAUGUAGCGGUGAAAUGCUUAGAUAUGACAUAGAACACCAAUUGCGAAGGCAGCUGGCUACACGAAUAUUGACACUGAUGCACGAAAGCGUGGGGAUCAAACAGG
rnacentral:rRNA from 1 species